rnacentral:lncRNA from 1 species
CAGGUGUAAGGUGCCCUUGAGGGGCCAGAACAGCUUCUGGGCCUCCCGCCAAGGCAGGAGUCCCUGUGUGUGUCCACUUCUGCUCCCUGGAGGGCCUCCCUCACACAGUGCUUCAGGGCAGAUGGCUCUUCCUGGCUGCAGCUGUGGGGAGAAAGUGGGGCAGAGAAGGGAGCGUGGGGAGCCAGCCGGGCACCUCCUGCCCCCACCCCCGUAGUCCCAGACUCAUCACGAGGCUCAGGUGCCAGCGCCCCCCUGGGAGCCAGAGCGUCACCCCCUCGGCAGCCCUGCCUGAAGAGGGUUCCCAGGCUUGGCUCUAAUUCCCCUGCCAAGCGGAAGGAACCCAGCAGGCGAUGCUGUCCUUGUCACUGUCCCUGAUGGCUGUGUUUUGUCUUUUGUAGUCACCCACUGAGCUGGACACCGCUGAAGGUCACCAGGCUGGGCCCAAGCAUGACCCGAGAAUCCAGCAGGUCCGCCAGUGGGUGGUCCCAGCCCAGACCACACAGAGACAUUGGAGAGGUCCGUGCCACCAGAUGCACUGUUGGUGGAACUUCAUAAAUGGCAGCAUGAAAUAUUUACCCACUUACACGAGCUUAAGUAAUUUAAGUUUGCUGGAAAUCAACAUCAUGUUUUCAUCUUUAAUGAGCCUCUGUAAAGCAGCGGCUUCUGUCACUGGCAGGUGUCGGGGACAGGAGCUUCCACAGCCAGAUGCGGCUUUAAUCUCCCUCCUCAGCAGUGACGAAGGAUGCAGGCAAAGCUUGGCCCCGGGCAGGGCAGGCGGUCGGGGGAUCAGAGCCCCGUGUCCUUCCUGCUCCCCUGCUGUCUCUGGACACUGAAGGACACUGGGCACUCCUUAGCAGAGCUCACAGGGCCCUGGUCAGCUGAACGGUGGUCUCCAAAGAUGUGCAAGUCUUAGUCACCGGGACCUGUGAAUCCAUCAGUUGACGCGGCACAAGGGACUUUGCAGACAUAAGGACCUUGAGAUGGACAGUGUGGGGGCUUAUUUUAUGUGUCAACUCGACUGGGCUGAGGAGGGCCCAGAGAGCGGGCGCGACCUCAUUUGGGUGCAUCAAUGGGAGGGGAGCAUUUCCAUCAGUAGACAGAAGAACCCCACCCAUGCAGGUGGGCCUUGUCCAGUGUGGGUGGUCACCUUCCAGCAGCAGGAUCACCCAGUACAGGUGGACGUCAUCCAGUCAGUUGGGGCCCCAAAGAAAACAAAAAGUGGAGGAAGGGCAGCUGUGGUCUCUACAGGGCCAUUUAUCUUCUGCCUUGGACGACCCGGCUGCCCAUUCUCAGGCCUCCAGCCCCAGACUGGACUGCACCCUGGCUGUCCUGGCCUCUGGCUUGCAGGCAGCAGUCUGUGGGACCACUUGGCUCCUUAUCCUGUGAGCCGGUCCCCGUAGUAAGUCUCCUCGUAGACAGAUGCGCACGUACACACUGCUGUAGCCCGCUUUCCCACGGCUGCAAUCGAAAGCCCUGACAAGAACAAUUUAGAGGAGGAAAAGCUUAUUUUAGAGGUCUCAGUCCAGAGAAGGCUGGCUCCAUUCCUCAGGGCCUGAGAUGGAGCAGCGCAUCAUGGCACAAGGACGUGGCAGAGGAAAGCAACCAGACCACGGCACCAGGAAGCAGAGAGAGACAGAGAGGGGGAGAGGGAGAGAGAGAGAGAGAGAGAGAGAGAGAGAGAGAGAGGGAGAGGGCGCUCCACUCAUCAGGGACAAAUAGGUGCUCCAAAGUCACGGCCCAAUGACACCUCCUCCAAUCGCCCCUCCCUGCCUGCAGUCACCACCCAGUUGAUCCUAUCAGAGGAUUAUUACUGCACUGGUUAGGCUAAGGCUCUCAUAACCCCAUCAGUUCACCUCUAAACUCUUCAGCACUGUCUCACACAUGGGCUUCUGGGGGACACCUCGUAUCUAAGCCAUCACACACACAAACAUGGCAAAUUCUCUCUAUAGCCACACAGCCGACCCUCCAAAUCCAUGGGUUGUGCAUCCAGGGGUUCAACCAACCUCAGACCAAAAAUAUUCAGAAAAUUGCAUCUGCUCAUAAGUAGAAUAUUAAAAAGUUGAUCUCAUGGAAAAUGAGAGUAGGGAGAAGAGGGAGGCCGUGGGCGAGGCAGGUCGGCAGGUGCAAUGUCGCUGAGCCUGUUACCCUCUAGGGGUGCUGGGUUCCCUGUCUGCGCUCAGCAGAGAAUUCAAGAGCAGGACAGAGACAGAAGCAGGCAGCAGGCUGAGGGCAGACCCAACAGAACAGACUUCUCCAAAGAGAAGGGGCCCCGGCGCCAGGAGGCUGGUGGGGCAGUUUUGGCCUCUUCUUUUUAUGGUCUCUGAAAUGUCCUCCUUUCCUUACCUCCUCCCUGUCCACGUGCUCCUCACCAUUAUUGAUUGGUGCCCCCUGUGUUCUGUUUUCGAGUUUCGAUUGGGUCCCCCCCUUAGGAGCAGGAAUACAGAAACGUCUGUCCCCGCUUGUGUCCACAAGCGCUUUCGUCAAGGAGGAAGUUGACCUCAUCAGGAGACCCUCUCCGUGCUCCUUUGUUCUGGCCCUGCCUGGACCUCCUUCCUCUCCAUCUUGCCCUGCCUGCCUACGCCCUUCUACCUCUUCCUCAAGGGAUGAGAAGAAAAAGUCCUGUUAGCAGCACAGCAGUGUGGAUGCGAUCAGCACAAGGCAGCGUGCGUAUAAACCAGCUCAAGGGAUGAGUGUGAACACACUCACCACGGAGAAAGGACCAGUGUUUGGUGAUGGGUGUGCUAAUUACUCUGUGUCGAUCGCUCCUCAAUGCAGACAUGAAUCAAAACAUCACAUCAUGCUCCAUAAAUAUGUACAAAUAUUAUGUGUCAAUCAAAAAAUAAAAAGAAGGAAAUUGCAUCUGUGAUGAUGAUAUACGGA